CUAAGCCGGCCCCUCCCCCACACCUGCUCAAGAUGUUGAAAGACUACAGUUAAAAGGGACAAACAAAGGACAUCCGACAGCACCUUGGAGGGGAGCAUCACCUGUUCCAUCUCUUCAUGACCAAGGAACCAAGAGAUAUUGCCUUAAAAAUCAGCUGAAUUUCUCAGACAGCAACCUCACAACACCAACCAGAGUGGAGUCUCCUUGGUAACCAACUGCUGUGUUAACCAGUGGGACCGCUGCUCCACCUUUUUUCUCCCUCCAUCAGGCAAAGGCUAAAACUCCGCCCACUUUUUCAGCCAAUAACCAACAGGGUCAAGUCACCUACACCGCUCUGACCGCUCAUG